AUUGAACUCUGGCGGCAGGCCUAACACAUGCAAGUCGAGCGGUGCGGCGGACGGGUGAGUAAUGCCUAGGAAUCUGCAUGGUCGCGGGGGAUCACGUCCGGACACGGGCCCUAAUACCGCAUACUAUCAGAUGUGAUUAGGUCGGAUUAGCUAGUUGGUGGGGUAAAGACCUACCCAGGCGACGAUCCGUAACUGGUCGGAGAGGAUGAUCAGUCACACUGGAACUGUGACACGGUCCAGACUCCUACGGGAGGCAGCAGUGGGGAAUAUUGGACAAUGGGCGAAAGACUGAUCCAGCCAUGCCGCGUGUGUGAAGAAGGUCUUCGGAUUGUAAAGCACUUUAAGUUGGGAGGCGUUACCAACAGAAUAAGCACCGGCUAACUUCGUGCCAGCAGCCGCGGUAAUAC
rnacentral:rRNA from 1 species